CAUAGUUUACAAUAGUUUGUAUAGUUUUACAGAUGAAAACUAUAGUUAACGAAUCGUAAACUAUAGUUUACAGUUGAUAAACUACGUUUAUCAACUGUAAAACUAUAUUUAGCUCAUUUUUAUGAAAUUAACUUGCCAUAAAUUAUAUAUGGCAUGCAUGUCUUUCUUUUCUUUUAUCUCCGUAAAUAGCGUCGAAAAUAGUACCUGGUAAUAAAUAGCUUGCCAGUGCAUUUCCUAUGAAAGUGUAAAUGAGUGCGUUUGUGAGAAGGGGGUACUGAGUGUAAUUCGGAGUAAUAUACUCUUGUGUUAUUAUUAUAUAGUACUAUGGGUUUAAAUUUUUCCCGAAACAAGUGCCAGUGACGGAUACAAAAAAAUGUUAUUAUCAGUGAGAGGGAUCGAUCGUUCAGUCCAAAUAUAAUUGAUAUAUUACCAGUUUCCUAGGAAUAUAAAUUAUCGUUUUGUUCAAAUAUAUUAUCUUUGGAAAUUAAAAAUCUAUUAUUAUUGAAGAAAAACAGGUAGCUUUUAUUUAAAAAGUUCUUAGUAAAAUAUUAUUGUAACGGACCUACCAUUAUGUGCAAUAUAAUUAGGUGAUUUCGUAAAAAUGAAAGAUUUGUAAUUUUUGAUUAUUUUGCAAUUGCUUAACAUGACACUAUUCAUUAGAAACCUCAAAAGCAUACUUUUUUACUUUGUAUAUAAUCCAUUGAGUUUGUUAUAUAAAAAAAAUAGUUAUGGAGGUACAGGAACUGACUAAAAUUCUAAUUAUCAAAUGGUUGAUAAGAGGAGAUUACUAGUAGCAUGCAGGAAUAAGGUAUAGGGCGUCCUUGCAUCAAUGUGUCUGUCUGCAUAUUCGUUAAAAGGGUUACGUAACGAUUCGAUCUGAUUUCAGUAUAUUUCCAUUUCAAUUUGUUUUCUCUGUGAUAACAUUUUGAAAGUACCAGGUAAGCUGAUAUGAUUUCAUGAUCAAUAUUCUGGCUUUGCCCGUUAUAAAUUAUAUAUGUAAAUAAUAUGUAAAGUAUAUAUGUAAAUAUAUUGCAAAAUAUAUAUCCCACAUUUCCAACGAUCGUUGAUGCUCCGGCAUACUCUACUAACUAGACAUUGAUUCCUUAGAUUAUACUACAUGAUUGUAAAUAAAAUAUUUGGUUUUAAUUUCGAUGUUAAAAUAUAUUAUACAAUUUUAGAUGAUACGUAUACGUGUUACUCGGAUAGCCAGUGCCCGGAUUAAGGUUACCACUGUUGUAUUGGUACAAGAUAUUGCUGUCCGCGGAGUACUGAGUGUACAUGGUUCACCGAAUGUAUCAUUCCGAGCUACACAGAACGAAAAAUGAAUCUUUGGAAGCUUGCAAGAAAGUAAACAAGUCAAACCAGCCAAUGAAAUAUAGACUGUACCUAGGCCAACACGGAUUUGCCAUUUUGAAAUAUUUGAAUUGAAGUUGUGGAUUUCUCAGUAUUUUGUCAGAAUAUACAUAUUAAAUGAUUACAAAAGCCUAAUUCUGUAAUUAGGUGUAUGCGCUAA